UACGGGGGGAGCAAGCGUUGUUCGGAUUUACUGGGCGUAAAGGGCGCGUAGGCGGCCAGCACAAGUCAGUUGUGAAAUCUCCGGGCUUAACUCGGAAAGGUCAACUGAUACUGUGCGGCUAGAGUGCAGAAGGGGCAACUGGAAUUCUCGGUGUAGCGGUGAAAUGCGUAGAUAUCGAGAGGAACACCUGCGGCGAAGGCGGGUUGCUGGGCUGACACUGACGCUGAGGCGCGAAAGCGUGGGGAGCAAACAGG
rnacentral:rRNA from 1 species